rnacentral:rRNA from 1 species
GACGAACCGUGCAACCGUUGUUCGGAAUCACUGGGCUUAAAGGGCGCGUAGGCGGGUUCGUAAGUCUGUGGUGAAAGCCCCCAGCUUAACUGGGGAAGUGCCAUGGAUACUGCGAGUCUUGAGGAGGGUAGGGGCAUCUGGAACACUGGGUGGAGCGGUGAAAUGCGUUGAUAUCCAGUGGAACUCCGGUGGCGAAGGCGAGGUGCUGGACCCUUUCUGACGCUGAUGCGCGAAAGCCAGGGGAGCAAACGGG